rnacentral:lncRNA from 1 species
AAGCAACACAUAUUUCUAAAAUAACCAUACAAGGCACUAUAUUAUCAAAAUAUUUAAGUAAUUCAAAUCAACACUCCCUAAACAACCAAAUCCAAAAUACAAGACACUUAAUAAUUAAUCCAACAACUACCAAAAUAUUAAAAAAUCCUAAAGUUUUUUCAGUUGAGUCUACAGAUGUCCGAGAUUUCUUUUUAGCAAUUGACUUUGAACUCUUAUAAGGACGAGGUCAAUCAGCGUCACCAGCGGAUGUCAUCUGUAUGCAAGUUUACAUCAAAACAUAUAAAAAUCAAGUC